GACGAACCGUCCAAGCGUUAUUCGGAAUCACUGGGCUUAAAGGGUGCGUAGGCGGCGCGGAAAGUUGGGUGUGAAAUCCCUCGGCUUAACCGAGGAACUGCGCCCAAAACUUCCGUGCUCGAGGGAGAUAGAGGUGAGCGGAACUUAGGGUGGAGCGGUGAAAUGCGUUGAUAUCCUAAGGAACACCGGUGGCGAAAGCGGCUCACUGGAUCUCUUCUGACGCUGAGGCACGAAAGCUAGGGUAGCGAACGGG
rnacentral:rRNA from 1 species